rnacentral:hammerhead_ribozyme from 1 species
AUCCAGCUGAGGAGUCCCAAAUAGGACGAAAAACGCGCGUCAAACUGGAU